GACGAACGCUGGCGGCGUGCUUAACACAUGCAAGUCGAACGGUAAGGCCCUUCGGGGUACACGAGUGGCGAACGGGUGAGUAACACGUGGGUGAUCUGCCCUGCACUUCGGGAUAAGCCUGGGAAACCGGGUCUAAUACCGGAUAGGACCACUGCCUGCAUGGGUGGGGGUGGAAAGCUUUUGCGGUGUGGGAUGGGCCCGCGGCCUAUCAGCUUGGUGGUGGGGUGAUGGCCUACCAAGGCGACGACGGGUAGCCGGCCUGGGAGGGUGACCGGCCACUGGGACUGAGAUACGGCCCAGACUCCUACGGGGGGCAGCAGUGGGGAAUAUUGCACAAUGGGCGCAAGCCUGAUGCAGCGACGCCGCGUGAGGGAUGACGGCCUUCGGGUUGUAAACCUCUUUCAGCACCGACGAAGCGCAAGUGACGGUAGGUGCAGAAGAAGGACCGGCCAACUACGUGCCAGCCGCCGCCGUAA
rnacentral:rRNA from 1 species